rnacentral:rRNA from 1 species
AGCGAACGCUGGCGGCAGGCCUAACACAUGCAAGUCGAACGAACUCUUCGGAGUUAGUGGCGGACGGGUGAGUAACACGUGGGAACGUGCCUUUUGGUUCGGAAUAACUCAGGGAAACUUGUGCUAAUACCGAAUGUGCCCUUCGGGGGAAAGAUUUAUCGCCCUUAGGGCGGCCCGCGUCUGAUUAGCUAGUUGGUGAGGUAACGGCUCACCAAGGCGACGAUCAGUAGCUGGUCUGAGAGGAUGACCAGCCACACUGGGACUGAGACACGGCCCAGACUACGACGGGAGGCAGCAGGGGGGAAUGGUGCGCAAUGGGAGAAAGGCUGAAGCAGCCAUGCGGGGUGAAUGAUGAAGGUCUGAGGAUAGUAAAAUUCUUUCACCGGGGACGAUAAUGACGGUACCCGGAGAAGAAGCCACGGCUAACUUCGUG